UACGAAGGGGGCUAGCGUUGCUCGGAAUCACUGGGCGUAAAGCGCACGUAGGCGGACUCUUAAGUCGGUGGUGAAAUCCUGGAGCUCAACUCCAGAACUGCCUUCGAUACUGAGAGUCUCGAGUCCGAGAGGGGUGAGUGGAACUGCGAGUGUAGAGGUGAAAUUCGUAGAUAUUCGCAAGAACACCAGUGGCGAAGGCGGCUCACUGGCUCGGUACUGACGCUGAGGUGCGAAAGCGUGGGGAGCAAACAGG
rnacentral:rRNA from 1 species